UAGAGUUUGAUCCUGGCUCAGAUUGAACGCUGGCGGCAGGCCUAACACAUGCAAGUCGAGCGGAUGAAGGGAGCUUGCUCCUGGAUUCAGCGGCGGACGGGUGAGUAAUGCCUAGGAAUCUGUCUGGUAGUGGGGGAUAACGUCCGGAAACGGGCGCUAAUACCGCAUACGUCCUGAGGGAGAAAGUGGGGGAUCUUCGGACCUCACGCUAUCAGAUGAGCCUAGGUCGGAUUAGCUAGUUGGUGGGGUAAAGGCCUACCAAGGCGACGAUCCGUAACUGGUCUGAGAGGAUGAUCAGUCACACUGGAACUGAGACACGGUCCAGACUCCUACGGGAGGCAGCAGUGGGGAAUAUUGGACAAUGGGCGAAAGCCUGAUCCAGCCAUGCCGCGUGUGUGAAGAAGGUCUUCGGAUUGUAAAGCACUUUAAGUUGGGAGGAAGGGCAGUAAGUUAAUACCUUACUGUUUUGACGUUACCAACAGAAUAAGCACCGGCUAACUUCGUGCCAGCAGCCGCGGUAAUACGAAGGGUGCAAGCGUUA
rnacentral:rRNA from 1 species